AUGUUGUUGAUGGAUGGCGGGCCCAAGGACGACAGACUGGCUGGUGUCCAGGGCGGCCUGUGCGGUGUGGCCAAGAACGACGCCCAGCACACGACGACAUCCUCCCCAAUCGUCCCGCUGCUCCCUCCCCUACCGGAUCCAGUCUCAGGUCAACGCCAUCAUACGAGGCCAAAAAUGGUUGUAGAAGGAGAUGCAACUCCUAGAAGGAGAGGGUUUUUUUGCGGGGUGGAGGAGCUGGUGUACAUUUGUGCACAUAAUUCUCAGCUGCAAAGUCACAUAUACUAUUGUGUGGAAAGAUCAAAGGAAGAAAACACCUGCAUGCCAGAUUUUUGUCUAGUUGGUAGUUAUGCUUCACAGUACCUACAACAUACUUUUCUCUUUAUUUUUUUCCUUUUUUUGCUACAUGGACAUCGGUUCUUCUGCAUUAUGUGUGAUAUAAGACUAUCUAUGUGCUCUCUCCUAUAUAAUUGCACAGUUUUUGCAUUUUGUUGCACACAAUGCUGCAAAUGUUGGCUUGUCCCAUGA
rnacentral:rRNA from 1 species